ensembl:lncRNA
GUUUAUAAUAGCAAUAUGGCGCCUUAGGGGUUUGUUAUGUUGGGCAUAUACCACACCUCUGGCUUCAUUGCUUAAUUAGAGCAUGCUGUGCAGAAUAGGAAAUAAAAUGUUACGUUUUGUAAAGUAAAGCCUUAGAAAUCAAUGGCAAAAACCAUGGCCUAACAUUAUUGCAUUUUCAAAACAAUUUUUAUUUGUAAUUUUUUUUUAGUGCACAUACCUUUCUCCCUGUUCCAGCCUAUUCCCCAGUGAAUGAAAAGAAUCCUUCUGCUUGUUUUCCACUUAGUCCCUGUGGUGGAUAUGAGUGGUUUCACUCAGCCAGAGGUUUACGUACCCACUCAUCCUCCACUCUCCUGAAUGCUUUUCAUUUGCUCAGUACAUUUCCUCAAGUUUGUAAAGUUAUCUAUUUGUUUUUAACAUUUUGUAACAGUCCUCGAGACCACCCAGAGUGCUUUGUAACCAAGAACAUCAUAUCAAAUAAAACUGUGUCCAUAUAUUCUGUAAUAUGUGAGGAGUGUGCCAAGGUACAAUGGCGUUAUCCUGUGAAUAAACUUUCGUUGUAUAUAUAGAGAGAAAAAAAGAGGUACACUUUUCCAUACUUGUACCAGGAGGCUCAGGUCUGAGAGCUGUGUGACUGUCUGUGUUCUGCAAGUCAUGUAGUUGUGUGCAAAAUUGGAUGUAGACUUAACAUUUAUUUUUCAAAGCAGGUGUCACUGUUGUCAAAAUGUAAAUGUAUGCAUUUAAAAACAAAACAUUCUGUAUAACUUAACCUGUGGAUGGUGACCUUGCAAGCAAAAGGACGUUUUAGCUCUUACUCGUCUUUCACCUCUACUCUCCUCUCCUUCUUUUGGAUUAUUACUCCAGUUAAAUUGUGUUGAUGAAGAACAUGAUUAUAAAUGUGAUUUGUCCCCCCACACAUCCACACAAUCAAAUGUAUUUGGUUUUAUUUUCUUUCAGUUUAUUUACAUUUUUUACAUGCUUUUGGAAAAAUAAAUGAAGAUGCUGAUGUUGC